AACCCAGUUUCGGGGACCUUGGUACAGGCAGGCCGAGAAUUCCCCUCUUUACACCCGGGGUGCCUGACGCGAACCGCGUCGCGCUCCACACCGUUUUGGGAGCCCUGGUACAGGCAGGCCGGGAACUCCCUUCUUUAUACCGGAGCUUAUGGGCCGCAGCGCCCAUAGCCCAGCCCGUUUUGGGGACCUUGGUACAGGCAGGCCGGGGAUUCCCUCUUUUAUUGCUCCU
rnacentral:ncRNA from 1 species